rnacentral:rRNA from 1 species
CUAAGCAUAUCAAUAAGCGGAGGAAAAGAAACUAACAAGGAUUCCCCUAGUAACUGCGAGUGAAGCGGGAAGAGCUCAAAUUUAAAAUCUGGCGGCCUUGCCGUCCGAGUUGUAAUUUAGAGAAGUGUUUUCUGUGCCGGACCGUGUACAAGUCUCCUGGAACGGAGCGUCAUAGAGGGUGAGAAUCCCGUCUUUGACACGGACCCCCCGGUGCUCUGUGAUACGCUCUCGAAGAGUCGAGUUGUUUGGGAAUGCAGCUCAAAAUGGGUGGUGAACUCCAUCUAAAGCUAAAUAUUGGCGAGAGACCGAUAGCGAACAAGUACCGUGAGGGAAAGAUGAAAAGCACUUUGGAAAGAGAGUGAAACAGUACGUGAAAUUGCUGAAAGGGAAACGCUUGAAGUCAGUCGCGUCCGCCGGAAUUCAGCCCUCGUGGUGUACUUUCCGACGGACGGGCCAGCAUCACUUUUGACCGCCGGAAAAGGGCGGAGGGAAUGUGGCACCUCCGGGUGUGUUAUAGCCCUCUGUCGUAUACGGUGAUUGGGAGUGAGGACCGCCUAUCUUUGUAGGAUGCUGGCGUAAUGGCUUUAAACGACCCGUCUUGAAACACGGACCAAGGAGUCUAACAUGCCCGCGAGUGUUCGGGUGGAAAACCCGUGCGCGUAAUGAAAGUGAAAGUUGGGAAGGCUGUCGUGGCCUGCACCGACGCCCGGACUUGAGAUUUAUCGACGGUUCUGCGGUAGAGCGUGUAUGUUGGGACCCGAAAGAUGGUGAACUAUGCCUGAAUAGGGUGAAGCCAGAGGAAACUCUGGUGGAGGCUCGUAGCGAUUCUGACGUGCAAAUCGAUCGUCGAAUUUGGGUAUA